UAGAUCUGCUGGAUAAUUACUAUACUAGCACUGUGAUCAUCACAAACAGAGCCGACUGCUGUCCAGAACGACUCGACGGAGCAGAGAUUCGCAUUGGAAACUCCCUGGAAAACAAUGGCAACAACAAUCCCAUAUGUGCUAUGAUUACUAGUAUUCCAAUAGGAGCAUCCCACAGCUACUCGUGUCCCGAUAUGGAGGGACGUUACGUGAACAUCAUUGUUCCUGGAGAUAGGUAUCUUACGCUCUGUGAGGUUGAAGUCUAUAGGGGUUUUCCAGUGAUAAACUUUGUGAGGAUGAAAUUUGCCUCCAAUACUGAUUUAGCUGGCCCAGAGAGUGACAAACUCCUCUAUCA